CGUUAACGCUGGCGGUAGGCCUAACACAUGCAAGUCGAACGGCAGCACAGUAAGAGCUUGCUCUUACGGGUGGCGAGUGGCGGACGGGUGAGGAAUACAUCGGAAUCUACUUUUUCGUGGGGGAUAACGUAGGGAAACUUACGCUAAUACCGCAUACGCCCUACGGGUGAAAGCAGGGGAUCUUCGGACCUUGCGCGAUUGAAUGAGCCGAUGUCGGAUUAGCUAGUUGGCGGGGUAAAGGCCAACCAAGGCGACGAUUCGUAGCUGGUCUGAGAGGAGGAUCAGCCACACUGGAACUGAGACACGGUCCAGACUCCUACGGGAGGCAGCAGUGGGGAAUAUUGGACAAUGGGCGCAAGCCUGAUCCAGCCAUACCGCGUGGGUGAAGAAGGCCUUCGGGUUGUAAAGCCCUUUUGUUGGGAAAGAAAAGCAGCAGGUUAAUACCCCGCUGUUCUGACGGUACCCAAAGAAUAAGCACCGGCUAACUUCGUG
rnacentral:rRNA from 1 species